AGCCAAAACUGACCGGUUCUAGAAGGAAGCGUACAUCAGAUGUAUGGGAUGAUUUCAAGACGGAACUAAUCAAUGGGAAGUGGCAGACAAUAUGCAACUGGUGUCAUAAGCUAUAUGCUGGAGAAUCAACCUCCGGUAUGUCACACUUAAGAACUCAUCAUAAUAGCUGUCCGGCUCGGCAUGCACCAGUGGGUCCACAACAAAGCAAAUUAAAGUUGUCAAAAUCUAGGGAUGGGAAAAUAAAUUUGGAGACCUAUGUUUUUGAUCAAGAACUUGCUAGAAAGGAACUUGCAUUGAUGAUAUGUGUGCAUGAGUACCCUCUGACUAUAGUUGAUCAUGCUGGAUUCUAAAAAUUUUGUGGUACUUUGCAACCAAUGUUCAAGAUGGUGUCUAGAAAUACCAUUAGGCAGGACAUUAAAAAUAUGUUUGGUGUCCAAAAGAAUAGCAUGGUGAAUUACUUUGCAAAGUUUGAGAACUGAGUAGCCAUCACAACAGAUUUGUGGACGGCUGGCCAUCAAAAGAGGGGCUAUAUGGCUGUAACUGCACAUUAUAUUGAUGCUUCUUGGAACCUAAAGAGAUUCCUAAUGAGGUUUGUGUAUGUUCCAUGUCCACACAAUGCUGAAGUUAUAUGUGAAGCACUACAUGCAUGUCUUGUUGAGUGGCACCUUGAGAAUAAGAUAUCCACGGUGACCUUGGACAAUUGUACAUCAAAUGACAAGGCUAUCGAAAUUAUGCCAGAUAAGUUGGACACCUCUUCUCUUAUGUUAAAAGGAUCUUUGAUGCAUAUGCAUUGUGCUUAUCAUAUAUUAAAUCUAAUUGUAAAAGAUGGAUUGGGUGUCAUGGAGAAAAGGAUUGAGAGGGUAUGAGAUAGUGUUGUAUUUUGGUCAGCCACACCUAAAAGACAUGAGAAGUUUGAAAAGAUGGCAUGCCUUUUGAACAAUGAAUACAAGUGUAGAUUGGCUCUUGAUUGUAAAACUAGGUGUAAUUCUACCUACAUAAUGUUAAAAGGUGCAUUGCAAUACAAAGAUGUUUUUGAAAGACUUUAUAUACGUGAAAAGAAUUUUACUUGUCCAACCGGAGAAGAUUGGGUCUUUGCUAAGGAGGUUUGUGAUAGGCUGAAAGUGUUCUUUGAUGUCACAGAGUUGUUGUCAGGCACUUCAUAUGUUACAGCUAGUCUUUUCUUUCCACAAAUAUGUGGCAUCCGGUGGGCAAUUCGCAAAUGGGAACUAGUAAACAUAGUGUCAUAAAAGCUAUGUCUAAGGAAAUGAAAGACAAGUUCGAGAAGUAUUGGACAGAUGUCCAUGGUCUUAUGGCUAUUGCCACCGUCCUUGAUCCACAUUAUAAGAUGCAUAUGUUCAAGGCUUCAUUUGGGUCAUUGUAUGGAACUGAACAUGCAUCCAUAGAAGUUGAUAAAAUAAAGAAGUUAAUGCUAGAUUUGCUGGCUGAAUAUCAAGAUGUAUCUCAGUGUGUUGAAACAUCUAAUGUUGGAAACACCCCAGCUGUUCAUAAUGGCGGUGUAGAUGAAAUUUUGGGUGUGUUUGAGAAAUACUUGUCUUCACAACAUGUCACUCCUUAUCAAGUUUGCACUGAAUUGGACAUGUACUUGGAUGAGCCCCUUAUUCGUAGAACAACAGAUUUUGACAUUAUUAAUUGGUGGGAAGUUGGAGGUGUAAAGUACCCUACUUUGUAGAAGAUUGCUCGUGAUAUAUUACCCAUCCAUGUUACAUCUGUGGCAUCAGAGUCAGUCUUUAGUACUAGUGGGAGGUUACUUAGUGCACAUCGCAGUCGACUUACACCAAGCAUAGCUGAAGCUCUUAUGUGUAUGCAAGCUUGGUCAUGAGCGGACAUGUUAGGUGAUAUCAACUUCGCUCUACAAGCAAUUCAAAGUGUUCUUGAGGAUGAAGAAGAAGUGAUGGGUGAAAAUGAGUCCAUCAUUACCGAAGACUAAUUUGGAGCCAAGUGUGCUCAUGUGGACAUGUGGCUGGGUCUCCAAUUACUAGCGCACGUACUGUUAGAAGUGCAUUUGAAUUUUGAAAUAUCUUACGUACUUUAUUUAUGAAAAUUCGGUUGUGAUGUAAUAAGAUCUUACAACUUUGGUUGUGAUGUAAUAAGAUUUAAGACAAGAAUUCUACUAUGAGACCAUUUGAGUUGUCAACUUGUCAUUGUGUGGUCUACUGUUUUUUAUAUGAAAUAAGA